CUCUCUCUCUCUCUCUCUCUCUCUCUCUCUCAUGGGUGUCUCUUGGUCUAAACUGUUCUUUUUUUUUUUUUUUCCUUUUAAAGAAACUUUAUUAACUUUCAUUUAUGAUGAUACUCAAAUCAAAGACCAAAUCUGUAGAUAAAGUAUAGCUAUAGAAGUGGGCUGUACUACUAUAGCAGGGAGAGAGGAGGGCACUGGUGGUGAUGUUGUUGACAGAAGAUAGAGAGCACAGAUGAUGAUAUGCAAUUAAUGGACUCUGCAUCUCACUCCUUUGUGCUCUCUAUGCUUCUGUCAUCACCUUCAGCCCUUCUCACACUUUCUUCUUUCUUCUUCUUCUUCUUCUUCUUUUCCUUCUUCUUCUUUAAUUUCUCUCUUUCCUUUCUUGUUAUUAAAAGGAAAAAAAAAAGUGUAUGUAACAUAUGUUUCUUGACAUUACAUACAUCAGUGAUUAAUAUGAUUUUACUUUAUAGUUUUGUCCUUUGUAAUUAAUUAUUGUUUUGUUUAGUUCAGUGCCUGAUGUGAGCAGCUAGCAAAAAUGUUUCAGAUCAUGAGCAUGAUUCUUGAUGAAAAAGGAAAUCAAGGGGGAGGCUAAGUGAAGCAACAGGCAACAAUUGUGUGCUAAAUUGUUAGCCCACAAAUAGGAGUUUUCCUCAUUCAGGAGCAAUGAGGAACGCUACUGCCGGCAGCCAGCCGGGGACAUGGCAACGGAAAAUGCUAGAAGCAAUACCAUUUCUGAGGGCUGAUGAGCAAUGUUUCUGAAAUAGUUUCUUGGAGAUGCUGAUAAAAUCUCAGUUAUAUUUGAUGUUUCUAUAAUGAACGAAGGACACAAGAAAACUUUCAACUAUCAACAGGAAACUGUUGUUAUUAUUCUAAAGGAACAAGUUCAUUUAAUAUAUGCUAUGUCAUUUGAGAAAUAUGAGCUCUGUAUCUGAUUUGAGUUUGUAACACUCAUAUUCUAAAUUAACUUUAGAAAAUGGAUAUAACAAAUUUUAAUUAUUAAAUUAUGAAAAUAAAUGUUGGAGAAUUUUCUAGAGGAAUAAAAACAAAUAAAUAAAAUUGAGAGGGAUAUGGAAAUAAAAAGAAAUGAAACUCUUUAAUCAGGUGGAAAAGAAAGAGACCAAAGGGGCCAACUGAAAAAAAGAAAGUAGAAUUAGGAACGAGGAAAAAAGGUAGGAAAAGGAGAGAGAGAGAGAGAGAGAGAGAGAGAGAGAGAGAGAGAGAGAGAGAGAGAGAGAGAGAGGUUGUCAGUGACGAAAUUGAUCCAUUCCGACCAGGGAUCGAUGAAUUGCAAAAUGGUAUGUUUGUCUUCCUUGAACUGUUGCGUUUCCUUUUCUAUCAUUCUUGUUACUUAAAACUCGUCAGAGAAGGAAAAUCAAAAAGAGAGAAAAUUAAGGCGGCCGAGGCAAAUGGCCUUGAUUCCAACCAACCCAGACUUUGGCGGCAAUGGAGGAAGAUACCUUCGCAUUCCCUAUCAUGUAAACUUCAUUUUGGUAUUGAUGGCAAUGAUUAAGGUGAUUGGAAAAAGAAGAUAGGUAAUGGGGGUGCCGUCGACUUUGGAGGCUCGAUUUCCGCGCUAUUUUAGAGAGAGUUUGGGCGCAUGACCGGUACCUUCGGACUCCAAACAAUGGUAUGCAGCUGAGGGUAUGCUAAGCUUCUCUGGAUGUCAUCAGCAUAUUAUGGUGCAUGGCAGCCAACGACAGUGACUUCGAUGAACCUAAUAGGCAGCAAUCCCUUUUUGGUUCUGGAGUUUGGAGAUGCUUAAUUGAAAUGAAAUUGAACUAUGAAUAUUGAACUCGUAAUAAUUGUUAAAGUUACUAAUAUUGUUGAAUUAUGCUAGUUGCUAAUUAAAUUACACGCCUGAAUCUA